GUAACGGCUUACCAAGGCGACGAUACGUAGCCGACCUGAGAGGGUGAUCGGCCACACUGGAACUGAGACACGGUCCAGACUCCUACGGGAGGCAGCAGUAGGGAAUCUUCCGCAAUGGGCGAAAGCCUGACGGAGCAACGCCGCGUGAGUGAUGAAGGUCUUCGGAUCGUAAAGCUCUGUUGUUAGGGAAGAACAUAUGUGUAAGUAACUGUGCGCAUCUUGACGGUACCUAACCAGAAAGCCACGGCUAACUACGUGCCAGCAGCCGCGGUAAUACGUAGGUGGCAAGCGUUAUCCGGAAUUAUUGGGCGUAAAGCGCGCGUAGGCGGUUUUUUAAGUCUGAUGUGAAAGCCCACGGCUCAACCGUGGAGGGUCAUUGGAAACUGGAAAACUUGAGUGCAGAAGAGGAAAGUGGAAUUCCAUGUGUAGCGGUGAAAUGCGCAGAGAUAUGGAGGAACACCAGUGGCGAAGGCGGCUUUCUGGGCUGUAACUGACGCUGAGGGGCGAAAGCGUGGGGAUCAAACAGG
rnacentral:rRNA from 1 species